AGAAUCAACGCUGGCGGCGUGCCUAACACAUGCAAGUCGCACGAGAAAGGGAUUUCGGUCCUGAGUAAAGUGGCGCACGGGUGAGUAACACGUGAAUCAUCUACCUCCGAAUGGGGAAUAACUGAGAGAAAUCUUAGCUAAUACCGCAUAAUACCUACGGGUCAAAGCAGCAAUGCGUUUGGAGAGGAGUUCGCGGUCGAUUAGUUAGUUGGCGGGGUAAUGGCCCACCGAAGACGAUGAUCGAUA
rnacentral:rRNA from 1 species